rnacentral:rRNA from 1 species
UACGAAGGGGGCUAGCGUUGCUCGGAAUCACUGGGCGUAAAGCGCACGUAGGCGGCUUCUUAAGUCAGGGGUGAAAUCCUGGAGGCUCAACUCCAGAACUGCCUUUGAUACUGAGAAGCUUGAGUCCGGGAGAGGUGAGUGGAACUGCGAGUGUAGAGGUGAAAUUCGUAGAUAUUCGGAGGAACACCAGUGGCGAAGGCGGCUCACUGGUCCAUUACUGACGCUGAGGUGCGAAAGCGUGGGGAGCAAACAGG